UAUGGGUAUCUACUCAAGAUCAGUCUGGAAUAAUCUUCUUUAGUGUUGAUCUUUCUUCUCCAAGAAAAAUCAGCCUGCGAAGCUGAACGAAGUCUAGAUCGCGAUCAACUCUUUAAUUCUUUUCUUGAUCUUUUCUCUUACUUUUUUUUAUUUAAUUAUAAGGCAACCAAGGAUUGAAAAUCAGCAAGCAAAGGGAUGCCCAAACUCCUUUUAGGCAUGGAUGAUUGAAGACGCCCAACCUCCUUGGGCGUUGGAUCUUCAUGGUAGAAGAGAGAGGGGGCAUGGGGAGUUUCUAAGGAAGAUAUGGGGUGCUGG
rnacentral:lncRNA from 1 species